rnacentral:snRNA from 1 species
GGGCCGACUUCAGCCUCACAUAUACCGAAAUUGGAAUGACACUGAGUAGAUUAGCACAGCCCCUGUGCAAGGAUGACAUACAACUUCAGAAAAAAAUAGCACACAGAA